rnacentral:rRNA from 1 species
CCGCACGGGUGAGUAACACGUAUCCAACCUGCCGUCUACUCUUGGACAGCCUUCUGAAAGGAAGAUUAAUACAAGAUGGCAUCACGAGUCCGCAUGUUCACAUGAUUAAAGGUAUUCCGGUAGACGAUGGGGAUGCGUUCCAUUAGAUAGUAGGCGGGGUAACGGCCCACCUAGUCUUCGAUGGAUAGGGGUUCUGAGAGGAAGGUCCCCCACAUUGGAACUGAGACACGGUCCAA